rfam:Hordeum vulgare subsp. vulgare, WGS project CAJW01000000 data, contig: morex_contig_442062
CUGCUUGAUUUGCAUCUACUGUUAACCUGGACAAAUAAUAAGGUUGAUGGAAUUAGGUGUUCAUCAUGCAAGUCACAGAUGCUCAUACAUGACCAUCACACAUAC